GAUGAACGCUGGCGGCGUGCUUAACACAUGCAAGUCGAGCGGAAAGGCGAUGCUUUUGCUGCGUUUUCGUGUGGCGCGCGGGCGUGUGCCGCGCGCGUACCCCGCCUUUGCCUUAGUGAUGAAUUCCCGAGACAGAGGCUGAUAACGAAUCCGCGAUCUUGUUGCGUGGCGGGGGUUGGAUAGUUUCGGCGGUUGGGGAUGGACUCGCGGCUGAUCUGCUUGUUGGUGUGGUAGUGGUUAACCAAGGCUUUGCCGGGUAGCCGGCCUGAGAGGGUGACCGGCCACAGGGGGACUGAGAUACGGCCCAGACUCCUACGGGAUGCAGCAGUGGGGAAUAUUGCACGAUGGGCGGAAGCCUGAUGCAGCAACGCCGCGUGCGGGAUGACGGCCUUCUGGUUGUAAACCGCUUUCGCCUGUGAUGAAGCGUAAUUGACGGUAACGGAUGAAGAAGCACCGGCUAACUACGUG
rnacentral:rRNA from 1 species